GACGAACGCUGGCGGCGUGCUUAACACAUGCAAGUCGAACGAUGAAGCGGUGCUUGCACCGUGGAUUAGUGGCGAACGGGUGAGUAAUACGUGAGUGACCUACCUUUGACUCUGGGAUAAGCCUGGGAAACUGGGUCUAAUACCGGAUACGACCAAUCUCUGCAUGGGGUGUUGGUGGAAAGCGUUAUGGAGUGGUUUUAGAUGGGCUCACGGCCUAUCAGCUUGUUGGUGAGGUAAUGGCUUACCAAGGCGACGACGGGUAGCCGGCCUGAGAGGGUGACCGGCCACACUGGGACUGAGACACGGCCCAGACUCCUACGGGAGGCAGCAGUGGGGAAUAUUGCACAAUGGGCGCAAUCCUGAUGCAGCGACGCCGCGUGAGGGAUGACGGCCUUCGGGUUGUAAACCUCUGUUAGCAUCGAAGAAGCGAAAGUGACGGUAGGUGCAGAGAAAGCGCCGGCUAACUACGUG
rnacentral:rRNA from 1 species